rnacentral:rRNA from 1 species
GCAUAUCAAUAAGCGGAGGAAAAGAAACCAACAGGGAUUGCCUCAGUAACGGCGAGUGAAGCGGCAAAAGCUCAAAUUUGAAAUCUGGCACCUUCGGUGUCCGAGUUGUAAUUUGAAGAAGGUAACCUUGGUAUUGGCUCUUGUCUAUGUUUCUUGGAACAGAACGUCACAGAGGGUGAGAAUCCCGUGCGAUGAGAUGCCCAAUUCUAUGUAAGGUGCUUUCGAAGAGUCGAGUUGUUUGGGAAUGCAGCUCUAAGUGGGUGGUAAAUUCCAUCUAAAGCUAAAUAUUGGCGAGAGACCGAUAGCGAACAAGUACAGUGAUGGAAAGAUGAAAAGAACUUUGAAAAGAGAGUGAAAAAGUACGUGAAAUUGUUGAAAGGGAAGGGUAUGAGAUCAGACUUGGUGUUUUGCAACCUUACUCUCGGGUGGGGCCCCUGCAGUUCAUCGGGCCAGCAUCAGUUUGGAUGGUAGGAUAAUGGCAUUGGAAUGUAGCUUGGCUUCGGUUAAGUGUUAUAGCCUUUGUUGAUACUGCCUGUCUAGACUGAGGACUGCGUCUUUGACUAGGAUGCUGGCAUAAUGAUCCUAUACCGCCCGUCUUGAAACACGGACCAAGGAGUCUAACGUCUAUGCAAGUGUUUGGGUGUAAAACCCGUACGCGUAAUGAAAGUGAACGUAGGUCUGAGCUCUCUGAGUGCAAGAUCGACCGAUCCUGAUGUCUUCGGAUGGAUUUGAGUAAGAGCAUAGCUGUUGGGACCCGAAAGAUGGUGAACUAUACCUGAAUAGGGUGAAGCCAGAGGAAACUUCUGGUGGAGGCUUCGUAGCGGUUUCUGACGUGCAAAUCGAUUCGUCGAAUUUGGGUAAUAGGGGGCGAAAGACUAAUCGAACCAUCUAGUAGCUGGUUCCUGCCGA